rnacentral:misc_RNA from 1 species
ACACUUUUUUUUGCUGUUUGUGUUUUUUUUUCAAGAGCCGAGCACACCUGUCGACUGCUCUAAACAUCUCCCUUUUUCACAGAGGAAAAGAAGGAAGAAACGAGCAUAAACCCCAAACUCAGCAGAGCAGAGAGAAUGCAGCGCCCAGUUAUUCGUCGUCUGGGCAAUCGCUCAGCGUUUACCUUAGUCGCUGCUGUGGCUAGGUCCUCGCAGAUGCGAAGUGCUGUCCGUGUCCCUUCAGGAUCUCAUGCUCGCGUCAUCCCUUCUUUCAUGUGCUCGCUGCGAGCGUACUCCGGCAGCCACCACGAUGAACCGUCUUCCCGCAGUGGUCAGUACCUGCUUGACAAGAACGACGUCCUCACCCGUGUUUUGGAGGUAGUAAAGAACUUUGAGAAGGUCGAUGCCUCCAAGGUGACCCCUGAGUCACACUUUGUGAAGGAUCUGGGUUUGAACUCUCUCGAUGUAGUGGAGGUUGUGUUUGCGAUCGAACAAGAAUUUAUUCUAGACAUCCCGGAUCACGAUGCGGAGAAAAUCCAGUCCAUUCCCGACGCCGUCGAGUACAUUGCACAAAACCCCAUGGCCAAGUAAGUGGUGGAGGCGAACUGUUUUUGUUAAACCAGCGCUAUAUUCUCUUGCCCAAUCGGUAGUGGAAUCAUCGAGUGAAAGCUGUUCUUAGCAUCUUGAUUCCAAAGGGGAACAGUACAUAAGACGUGUGUCAUGAGACGUGUACACGAUUAUUUCUCUUAGGAUUUUUUAGUCGAAAUAGGUCCUUGUUGUGCCACCAUUAGCGUUCUCCGAGUGAGGUAAGCAGAAGUGCCGUGUGCGCGUGAAAGCAAUUUUCGCCCCUGCUCUUCAGCGUUGGUGUACUGCACUCAGAUAUCGUCUCACUUUUUCUUUGUUGCCCAAGGUGGGCAGUGAGGAGACGAUAGUGAGCACCUAUUUUGGACAUGACGUUCUCUUGUGUGCCCUCAUGUGGAGCAGGAGGCGCUUUCUUGUGUCUUUUUUUUCUACUUGUUCUCUGGUAAGCAAUGAUACCACUGUCUCCGUGUUGAAACACACCGGAUAGCUUGUAGCCUCACUGAGAGU